UAAUUAUGGAACGGGCCGCCGGAGAAAAAUAGGGGAGGGUCAUGUCUUCUCAUUCUUUUUUGAGGGGAGGGUCAUCCAACUAUUUUUAGUCUAGGGGGGAGGUUCACCCAACUUUUGUAUUCAUGAAA